rnacentral:rRNA from 1 species
AACGAACGCUGGCGGCAUGCCUAACACAUGCAAGUCGAACGAGACCUUCGGGUCUAGUUGCGCACGGGUGCGUAACGCGUGGGAACCUGCCCUUAGGUUCGGAAUAACUCCCCGACAGGGGUGCUAAUACCGGAUAAUGUCUUCGGACCAAAGAUUUAUCGCCUUUGGAUGGGCCCGCGUUGGAUUAGCUAGUUGGUAGGGUAAAAGCCUACCAAGGCGACGCUCCAUAGCUGGUCUGAGAGGAAGAUCAGCCACACUGAGACUGAGACACGGCCCAGACUCCUACGGGAGGCAGCAGUGGGGAAUAUUGGACAAUGGGCGAAAGGCUGAUCCAGCAAUGCCGCGUGAGUGAUGAAGGCCUGAGAGUUGUAAAGCUCUUUUACCCGGGAUGAUAAUGACAGUACCGGAAGAAUAAGCUCCGGCUAACUCCGUG